UCUAAAGCAAUGCUUGAACAAGUAAUUUUGGGUCCGUAAUAUAGCCCAAAUCACAAAAAUACCCGAAGAAGUACUUAAAGGUCAAAAUUUGGGGUCGACAAAAAGUCAAUGGAAAAGUUCCUUUGUCCUGCUUCUUUCGUCGGAGGGCUCUCUUUGGGCUUUCCGAAAAGGUAUCACAUGCCAAGUUUGGCCUCACGGUAUAAAAGUUAUAGAGUCAUAAAGUUUUAACCAAAAAAA
rnacentral:sRNA from 1 species